rnacentral:rRNA from 1 species
GAUGAACGCUGGCGGCGUGCCUAAUACAUGCAAGUCGAACGAAACUUCUUUAUCACCGAGUGCUUGCACUCACCGAUACAGGGUUGAGUGGCGAACGGGUGAGUAACACGUGGGCAACCUGCCCAAAAGAGGGGGAUAACACUUGGAAACAGGUGCUAAUACCGCAUAACCAUAGUUACCGCAUGGUAACUAUGUAAAAGGUGGUUAUACUACCGCUGUUGGAUGGGCCGGCGGCGCAUUAGCUAGUUGGUAGGGUAAAGGCUUACCAAGGCAAUGAUGCGUAGCCGAAUUGAGAGGUUGAUCGGCCACAUUGGGACUGAGACACGGCCCAAACUCCUACGGGAGGCAGCAGUAGGGAAUCUUCCACAAUGGGCGAAAGCCUGAUGGAGCAACGCCGCGUGGGUGAAGAAGGUCUUCGGAUCGUAAAGCCCUGUUGUUAGAGAAGAAAGUGCGUGAGAGUAACUGUUCACGUUUCGACGGUACCUAACCAGAAAGCCACGGCUAACUACGUG